rnacentral:rRNA from 1 species
CGUGUAGGCUGCUCUGCAAGUCGGAUGUGAAAGCCCUGGGCUCAACCUAGGAAGAGCAUUCGAAACUGCAAAGCUGGAGUCCUGGAGAGGAUAGCGGAAUUCUCGGUGUAGAGGUGAAAUUCGUAGAUAUCGAGAGGAACACCGGUGGCGAAGGCGGCUAUCUGGACAGUGACUGACGCUGAGACGCGAAAGCGUGGGGAGCAAACA